rnacentral:misc_RNA from 1 species
GACAGAGAGAGAGAGAGACAGAGACCUCUCCCCUCUUUUUGCUGCUUUAUGCUUUCGCUUUCGAAGGGGAAGAGAAAGGGAAAAGAUUACGUAUUUGCUGCGUAUAAUGAAUCAAAGAUUUGAGCCGUCAGAUAAGGUGAGGCUCACUAGAUCUGCCGCUAAGUUUAGUUGAGGCCAGUUGGGGAAUUGCUGGAGGCAGUGAAAUUGGCACUAGGAGAGUAUGGAAAAAACGCGGGAUCAAAGCGUCAACUGCGCCAGGGUGAACACAUCCAUG